GACGAACGCUGGCGGCGUGCCUAAUACAUGCAAGUUGAGCGCUGAAGGUUGGUACUUGUACCAACUGGAUGAGCAGCGAACGGGUGAGUAACGCGUGGGGAAUCUGCCUUUGAGCGGGGGACAACAUUUGGAAACGAAUGCUAAUACCGCAUAAAAACUUUAAACACAAGUUUUAAGUUUGAAAGAUGCAAUUGCAUCACUCAAAGAUGAUCCCGCGUUGUAUUAGCUAGUUGGUGAGGUAAAGGCUCACCAAGGCGAUGAUACAUAGCCGACCUGAGAGGGUGAUCGGCCACAUUGGGACUGAGACACGGCCCAAACUACUACGGGAGGCAGCAGUAGGGAAUCUUCGGCAACGGACGAAAGUCUGACCGAGCAACGCCGCGGGAGUGAAGAAGGUUUUCGGAUCGUAAAACUCUGUUGGUAGAGAAGAACGUUGGUGAGAGUGGAAAGCUCAUCAAGUGACGGUAACUACCCAGAAAGGGACGGCUAACUACGUG
rnacentral:rRNA from 1 species